UCCUUUUCCAAGCAUGCACCACACUGGUAUUGGCUUGCUUACCUGGAGCUAUCCUUUUCCAAGCAUGCACCACACUGGUAUUGGCUUGCUUACCUGGAGCUUGGAGGUGCCACCUGCAAAAUAACAGAAAGGGCGCUGUGAAUGGGUUCGAUGGGUUCCCUCUCUAAUGCUUAAGCCAUAACUUGUGUUGGGAACUUGUGGAUCAAUAGAUGCAAAGUAGGCAAAAAGGGGAGUUAAGGAGAAUAAAUGAAGUUGAAGAAAGGAAUAAGUGCACAGCUUGGAGGAUGACUUUGUCCCUCACUCGACCGCAUGGAUAUCCAUGGUCCAUGUCGGUCAGUCACCGAGAGAAUUGUUAUUGAGGUAUCAU
rnacentral:lncRNA from 1 species